CAAUUGCUAAUUUGCAGAGUAAUUUUUCUGUUCUUUUGGUUUCAAAACCAAAAUUGAAUAUGAUAUCAAUGAUGCCUUUUCGAGUUGCAUACAAAUGCUGGAUAAUAUUAGCAGAAUGGGCUGCUCUUUGUUUUUGGGUGGCUGAUGACAUAGCUCGUGCUCUCUAACCUCAUCAUCAAGAAUCAAGAAACAAACAAUGAUAUGUUUCUUGUAGGUACUAAUCAAUUUUUGACAACAUUUGAGAUUUUAGGGUUUUAGUUUGGACAUGAAGUGUCACAGUUUUUGACACUUCUGAGUGCUUGAUUUGUAUUUUGUAGCAAUGAUUAAUUUAAUCCAAGAAAUUCUAUUCUCUAUUAGCAAAGAUUUAAGGAUAUGCUUCGUUCUCUUGCAUUUUAUUUUUUUAUUUAAGUUUAUUUUAGGGACACGUUCAUUUUUUUAGGGUUUUGUUUUCGUCAUGAGAACCAUUAGGGUUUGGUUCAUUUGCCACUUGUGGUUAUACGAUUUGUAUUUUGCAAGUAAUCGUAUUGAUGUUGUGGCGACGUCUCCAUUUGGAGAUCCACGGAAAAGGAGAAAGUUCUCCAAGGAUGGUGCUAAGAUGUGGAUGGAGAUCUCCGCUGAGUUUUGAUAAAUUGAGCUUGUAAAUACUCUUAUCUUAUGUAAAAUGUUCUGAUUAAUACUCUAGGAUUACUCGGAACUUGAAUCAAAUACCAUUUUUUUUUUUAAACAUAAUGCAAUUUUUACCCUCGGAUCAGUUGGAUUGGAUACCAA
rnacentral:lncRNA from 1 species